rnacentral:rRNA from 1 species
CAGCCGCCACGGGAAUACGAAGGGGGCUAGCGUUGUUCGGAAUUACUGGGCGUAAAGCGCGUGUAGGCGGGUCUUUAAGUCAGGGGUGAAAUGCCAAGGCUCAACCUUGGAACUGCCUUUGAUACUGGAGAUCUUGAGUCCGGGAGAGGUGAGUGGAAUUGCGAGUGUAGAGGUGAAAUUCGUAGAUAUUCGCAAGAACACCAGUGGCGAAGGCGGCUCACUGGCCCGGAACUGACGCUGAGACGCGAAAGCGUGGGGAGCAAACAGGAUUAGAUACCCGGGUAGUCCCUGUCUCUUAUAC